rnacentral:siRNA from 1 species
UUACCGCUCUCUUUUAAAACGUGA